CUGGCGGCGUGCCUAAUCAUGCAAGCUCGAGCGGACAGAAGGGAGCUUGCUCCCGGAUGUUAGCGGCGGACGGGUGAGUAACACGUGGGUAACCUGCCUGUAAGACUGGGAUAACUCCGGGAAACCGGAGCUAAUACCGGAUAGUUCCUUGAACCGCAUGGUUCAAGGAUGAAAGACGGUUUCGGCUGUCACUUACAGAUGGACCCGCGGCGCAUUAGCUAGUUGGUGGGGUAAUGGCUCACCAAGGCGACGAUGCGUAGCCGACCUGAGAGGGUGAUCGGCCACACUGGGACUGAGACACGGCCCAGACUCCUACGGGAGGCAGCAGUAGGGAAUCUUCCGCAAUGGACGAAAGUCUGACGGAGCAACGCCGCGUGAGUGAUGAAGGUUUUCGGAUCGUAAAGCUCUGUUGUUAGGGAAGAACAAGUGCGAGAGUAACUGCUCGCACCUUGACGGUACCUAACCAGAAAGCCACGGCUAACUACGUGCCAGCAGCCGCGGUAAUACGUAGGUGGCAAGCGUUGUCCGGAAUUAUUGGGCGUAAAGGGCUCGCAGGCGGUUUCUUAAGUCUGAUGUGAAAGCCCCCGGCUCAACCGGGGAGGGUCAUUGGAAACUGGGAAACUUGAGUGCAAAAAAGGAAAGUGGAAUUCCACGUGUACCGGUGAAAUGCGUAAAGAUGUGGAGGAACACCAGUGGCGAAGGCGACUCUCUGGUCUGUAACUGAC
rnacentral:rRNA from 1 species